GCAAAGGCAAACCCGUGGAAACCCGGGGACGCAAAGCCACGUGCCUAAAGGAACUCUCAGUCCUAUGGUAGACAGGCCGCCAA
rnacentral:ncRNA from 1 species